CGCUUCUAGUGGAGUUAGUUGGAUUGGGAGUCUGACCUGCCCGGUGGAAUAGUUCUAAACGGUGGCCUUAGCGUGAGGGUCUUAAGGUAGCAUAUAAUGUUUCAAUUUAUUGUUGAGUGGGAUGAAUGGAUAAUACGAGAACAUGACUGUCUCUUAGCGUUUUGGUGGAAGUUAACUUGUAGGUGAAAAGGCCUACAUUGUUUAAAAAGACGAUAAGACCCCAUGAAACUUUAGUGUGACUUAUUUUUAAGGUGGGCAUUGAAUGUUUUUAACUUUGAGAGGCAGUGCUCUUUGGCUGGGGCGGUUCAGAGGUGUGAACCCUCUGAAAAGUUGGGUUAACUUGUGGGUGUUGAACCAUUAUAGCGGUUGUGGUAAAUAGAAUAAGUUACUCUGGGGAUAACAGCGUAAUCUUUCCGGAGAGUUCUUAUUGAUGGUAGGGUUUGCGACCUCGAUGUUGAAUGUGGUUAUCCUUAGGCUUGUAGCAGGUUUAAAGGGUUAGACUGUUCGUCUAUUAAAAACCAACC
rnacentral:rRNA from 1 species